rnacentral:lncRNA from 13 species
CAUAAGUAGCUGCUCUGCAGAGAACACAGCUGACAUCUAAGAAUUUCCUGGAAUAUAUGUUAUUUGAUUGAAGGCCCAUCCCUGCUUCGGAUGAGAAAUGGCAGACUAUGGAAUUUCAGAGAUCAUCUCUUUCAACACCUUGCGUAAAGGAAGUCAUUGCUAGCCAAAAGGUUGGGGGUAAAAGCACUUUAUGGAGAGAUGACGUUUAAACUGAGAAAGGAGGAUGAGAAGGAGCUAGCCAACUGAAGAGAAUAUGUGAAAGAUUAUCAUGGUGAAAGCAAAGAAAAUGAAUAAAAGUGAAAAGGCUUGAGAUAAAUUAUGGAAG